UGCUAGCUCUUUUUCAUGGAAGAUCACAAUUUCUUUUUAGAGUGUUUCACCCUUUACCUCUAAGCAUUUCACCUUGCACUUUCAAUUUCUUAAAAUAUCUCUAAUUAAUAAGUGGCUUAAAAGUUUAAUAUUUUGAUUAUUGAGAAUUUCUGUAUCCACCAUUGAUUCCACCUCCAUUUUUCUUCAAUCAUUAAAGAUGCAUUCUUGACCUCUGCUCCCUUUCACCCUGCACCCCUACACUACGCAUCACCCCUGCACCCUUUCAUCCCUGCACCCCAUUUCAUCUUUAUAAAGAAAUCCUACACCCCUUGGACCUUUAAAAUGCAACUCUUUGAUAAUAUUUUUCUUCUUGAGGUAUUGUACUUUGCAACUCAUAUUUGUGAGUGAGUGUUGUUUAUAUAUAUUUAAGAAGGAUUAUUAAGUGUAACUUGGAGUGCUUGACUUGCUUUGUGGUGGUGUAUUAGGGUGCUUAGUAUUAGCUCAUUUUUGUCUAUCUUCUUGCUGAAGAGGGAGGUUAGUAUUUGUUUGCAUCUUGUUGGUUGCAUUGAUAUUGAUGGAUUGUUAGUAUUUUUUUUUAAUUUGUUUGCAUCUUG
rnacentral:lncRNA from 1 species